AGUCAGGUAUGCCGUCAAAGGCAUGGACCCGGGCUUCAGGCCUGGGCUUUCGCGGCGUUCUGGUUCUGAUUCCAGAGCUCCACCC
rnacentral:tRNA from 1 species